CAAACGACUCUCGGCAACGGAUAUCUCGGCUCUCGCAUCGAUGAAGAACGUAGCAAAAUGCGAUACCUGGUGUGAAUUGCAGAAUCCCGCGAACCAUCGAGUCUUUGAACGCAAGUUGCGCCCGAGGCCUUCGGGCCGAGGGCAUGCCUGCCUGGGCGUCACGC
rnacentral:rRNA from 1 species